rnacentral:rRNA from 1 species
UGGGGAAUUUUGGCAAUGGGCGAAAGCCUGAUCCAGCAAUGCCGCGUGUGUGAAGAAGGCCUUCGGGUUGUAAAGCACUUUUGUCCGGAAAGAAAUCCUUGGCUCUAAUACAGUCGGGGGGAUGACGGUACCGGAAGAAUAAGCACCGGCUAACUACGUGCCAGCAGCCGCGGUAAUACGUAGGGUGCAAGCGUUAAUCGGAAUUACUGGGGCGUAAAGCGUGCGCAGGCGGUUUGCUAAGACCGAUGUGAAAUCCCCGGGCUCAACCUGGGGAACUGCAUUGGUGACUGGGCAGGCUAGAGUAUGGCAGAGGGGGGUAGAAUUCCACGUGUAGCAGUGAAAUGCGUAGAGAUGUGGAGGGAAUACCGAUGGCGAAGGCAGCCCCCCUGGGCCAAAUACUGACGCUCAUGCACGAAAGCGUGGGGGAGCAAACAGGAUUAGAUACCCUGGUAGUCCACGCCCUAAAACGAUGUCAACUAGUUGUUGGGGAUUCAUUUCCUUAGUAACGUAGCUAACGCGUGAAGUUGACCGCCUGGGGAGUACGGUCGCAAGAUU